rnacentral:rRNA from 1 species
UGCAGUCGGGCGGUAACACAGAGGAGCUUGCUCCUUGGGUGACGAGCGGCGGACGGGUGAGUAAAGUCUGGGGAUCUGCCUGAUGGAGGGGGAUAACUACUGGAAACGGUAGCUAAUACCGCAUGACGUCUUCGGACCAAAGUGGGGGACCUUCGGGCCUCACGCCAUGAGAUGAACCCAGAUGGGAUUAGCUGGUAGGUGAGGUAACGGCUCACCUAGGCGACGAUCCCUAGCUGGUCUGAGAGGAUGACCAGCCACACUGGAACUGAGACACGGUCCAGACUCCUACGGGAGGCAGCAGUGGGGAAUAUUGCACAAUGGGGGAAACCCUGAUGCAGCCAUGCCGCGUGUGUGAAGAAGGCCUUCGGGUUGUAAAGCACUUUCAGCGGGGAGGAAGGCAAUAAACUUAAUAAGUUUGUUGAUUGACGUUACCCGCAGAAGAAGCACCGGCUAACUCCGUGCCAGCAGCCGCGGUAAUACGGAGGGUGCAAGCGUUAAUCGGAAUGACUGGGCGUAAAGCGCACGCAGGCGGUCUGUUAAGUUGGAUGUGAAAUCCCCGGGCUCAACCCGGGAACAGCAUUCAAAACUGACAGGCUAGAGUCUCGUAGAGGGGGGUAGAAUUCCAGGUGUAGCGGUGAAAUGCGUAGAGAUCUGGAGGAAUACCGGUGGCGAAGGCGGCCCCCUGGACGAAGACUGACGCUCAGGUGCGAAAGCGUGGGGAGCAAACAGGAUUAGAUACCCUGGUAGUCCACGCCGUAAACGAUGUCGACUUGGAGGCUGUGGUCUUGAACCGUGGCUUCCGGAGCUAACGCGUUAAGUCGACCGCCUGGGGAGUACGGCCGCAAGGUUAAAACUCAAAUGAAUUGACGGGGGCCCGCACAAGCGGUGGAGCAUGUGGUUUAAUUCGAUGCAACGCGAAGAACCUUACCUACUCUUGACAUCCAGAGAAGACUGUAGAGAUACGGUUGUGCCUUCGGGAGCUCUGAGACAGGUGCUGCAUGGCUGUCGUCAGCUCGUGUUGUGAAAUGUUGGGUUAAGUCCCGCAACGAGCGCAACCCUUAUCCUUUGUUGCCAGCGAUACGGUCGGGAACUCAAAGGAGACUGCCGGUGAUAAACCGGAGGAAGGUGGGGAUGACGUCAAGUCAUCAUGGCCCUUACGAGUAGGGCUACACACGUGCUACAAUGGCGCAUACAAAGAGAAGCGAGCCUGCGAGGGUGAGCGGACCUCAUAAAGUGCGUCGUAGUCCGGAUUGGAGUCUGCAACUCGACUCCAUGAAGUCGGAAUCGCUAGUAAUCGUAGAUCAGAAUGCUACGGUGAAUACGUUCCCGGGCCUUGUACACACCGCCCGUCACACCAUGGGAGUGGGUUGCAAAAGAAGUAGGUAGCUUAACC